CGACUAUACUGUGAAACUGCGAAUGGCUCAUUAAAUCAGUUAUGGUUUAUUUGAUGGUACCUACUACUUGGAUAACCGUAGUAAUUCUAGAGCUAAUACAUGCAGGAAGACCCGACUUCGGAAGGGUUGUAUUUAUUAGAUAAGAAACCAAUCCAGCUUGCUGGUUGCGUGCCGAGUCACAAUAACUGCUCGAAUCGCAUGACUUUACGUCGGCGAUGGUUCAUUCAAAUUUCUGCCCUAUCAGCUUUCGAUGGUAGGAUCGAGGCCUACCAUGGCGUUUACGGGUAACGGAGAAUUAGGGUUCGAUUCCGGAGAGGGAGCCUGAGAAAUGGCUACCACAUCCAAGGAAGGCAGCAGGCGCGUAAAUUGCCCGAAUCCUGACACAGGGAGGUAGUGACAAGAAAUAACGAUACAGGGCUACAUCUAGUCUUGUAAUUGGAAUGAGUACAAUUUACAUCUCUUAACGAUGAUCAAUUGGAGGGCAAGUCUGGUGCCAGCAGCCGCGGUAAUUCCAGCUCCAAUAGCGUAUAUUAAAGUUGUUGCAGUUAGAACGCUCGUAGUCGGAUUUCGGGGCAGUCCGACCGGUCUGCCGAUGGGUAUGCACUGGCCGGAGUGUCCUUUUUGCCGGAGACCGUGCCUACUCUUAACUGAGCGGGGGCGGGAGACGGCACUUCUACUUUGAAAAAAUCAGAGUGUUUCAAGCAGGCAGCUC
rnacentral:rRNA from 1 species